rnacentral:misc_RNA from 1 species
UAGUGGAGAUAUGUUUGUGCACUAGGCGCAGCUCCGUAAUGAUGCUCAUACGAGUAGAUGCUGUACUAGCUGCAAGCUGCUGUCUUCUCUUUUUGGCCAGUCACGCAAGUACAUAUGUGUAUAUUUCCUCGUGAUGGCGUUUUCGAGCGUUGCUUACAUCAGCGGCACAACCCUGUCUCAGUUUCCGGGUGCUGAAUUUUCUUGUAUGAGUGGUCGCGAGUACAUUUGUAAGCUCUAUGGAUUUAUUCAGAAUGUCCAUGAAAUCAUGGACGAUGAAGUCACGCGCGAAAGUCGCGGCGUAGUAAUACUAGGCGCCACUCCUAAGGGCUACAGCGAUGCGUCUGCCGGAAUGCAGAAUAUGGGCUACUUGACAGUAUGCCACUCACCGUCUCACAAACUGUCGUAUGAGGAUACGCAGAAACUGCAGAAGAUGCCGGAGCCACAGGACGCUACGCAACAGGUUCUGAUGCAUAUCACGGGUCAAAUGAAAAUUGAUGGUACUGCGCGAUUGCUUUAUAGCGUGUACGAAGUAGGAGUGCAACCGUUGAUGCCGCUACGGUCGAAAAUGGAGAACCUUGUUGGUGUUUUGCGGGGGCUUCACAAAGCUAUCGAACGCUUACGCUUGAAAUGUGUCGCUGAAAGCAGCGCUGCCGGCCAACGUGGGUGCGGGGAACGAAAUCGAAAGGGUAGAGUUUGAGGGCCCUGAUCAGAACGAACUGGAAGCUCUCGCUCGAGAAAAGGCGGAUUUGGCCAAGCGUAUUCUGGAGCUCAAUAGGAAGUUGCUCAGCUCCGGGACAUCAGAAAUGUCUGGCAUGUAGGGGGAUGGCGCUGUGCAAAGGCGUUUACAAAUCCCUUCAGCGGCUCUCUAUUCAUUGACAUUCUUCUUUUGGUUGGUGGCGCUGUCGCUUCACUCAUUGGGAUAUGACGCAACUGCUGU